AUUGAACGCUGGCGGAAUGCUUUACACAUGCAAGUCGAGCGGCAGCGCGGCCUUCGGGCUGGCGGCGAGCGGCGAACGGGUGAGUAAUGCAUCGGAACAUGCCCAGUCGUGGGGGAUAACACUUCGAAAGAAGUGCUAAUACCGCAUACGUCCUGAGGGGGAAAGCGGGGGAUCGCAAGACCUCGCGCGAUUGGAGUGGCCGAUGUCAGAUUAGCUAGUUGGUGGGGUAAAGGCCUACCAAGGCGACGAUCUGUAGCUGGUCUGAGAGGAUGAUCAGCCACCACGGGACUGAGACACGGCCCCGACUCCUACGGGAGGCAGCAGUGGGGAAUUUUGGACAAUGGGGGCAACCCUGAUCCAGCCAAUCCGCGGUAGUGAAGGAGGCCUUCGGGUUGUAAAGCUCUUUCGGGCGGAACGAAACGGUGGGCUCUAACAUAGUCCGCUAAUGACGGUACCUGAAGAAGAAGCACCGGCUAACUACGUG
rnacentral:rRNA from 1 species